CUGGCCGCAUCUGUCCCCCUGCAGGGAAAAGAAACCAUGGGAGAAAACCAGAGCCUGGGCAAACGAACAUGCAAGUGGAGACAUAGUGUUUUCUAGGACAACAAAACACUUUAGUUUGGCUAGAGCUAAGAGUGUGGUAGGUAGACAAAAUUAGAAUCAGAUUGUAGAAGGUCUUGGAUGCCAGGUUAAUGAUUUUGAACUUUAUAUUUUUUAUUUUCCUUUGUUCAAAUCCCCUGUGAUAAGUUGUUUUAUUUUGUUUAGAGUGGGUAUCAGGCAGAUUUCUGGGUGAGGCCCAGAGGAGCAUUUUUAUUCAUCCAUCCAUUCAACAAGGGACUAUGUCUUAUCCAACUUGUAUCCCUAGAGUAUAACACAACAUCUGCAUAUAAGACAGAAAGUAAGUGCUUGUUAAAAUUAAGCAUUUUGGCCGGGUGUGAUGGCUCAGUGGAUUCAAAACGAUGAAAGUGGAUUCAAAACCUCUGUCAAGGGGUGCUGUCCUUUCCUGGCCAAGUCUCUUUUAUUCUCUUAGGGCUGCAACCUCUUCACCUGGGAAAUGAAUGGUCCUGUGAUUUACAAGAGCAGGUGUGAGCCCCUGCGCCCAGCUGGCAUCCUGCUUUUGAGCAGGAGGUGGCCCAGGGUCCAGGCUGAAGGUGCAGGCCCUAUCCAAGACACAACAUUUCCAGUGGCAGAGAUAAAAAAGUAAGAUUUCAGACUCAAAC
rnacentral:lncRNA from 1 species